ACUUCUUCCUUCAUUGAGUGCAGCGGAGCUCCGGCCAAGAUUUUUGCAGAAAAUCGGAGCAAAUUUUGGCGGCUGUGGCGGCGUCGAAAUGCUCCAUUCUCCUAUGAGCCGAGAGGAAUGCCGAAGGGAGUCGAGGGCAGCCGGAAGUGCGGCAAAGAGCUUGGCAGCAUCGCUCUUUUCACCAAAGCCACUCUCAUUUGCGUGGUUCCGUUCUAGCAGCGGUUGAGGAAGGAGAGCAAGGGGUUGGGCUUGGAAGUCAAUCUGCCGUCACACCCGCUCUACAGCGAAGCUUUCCAUCGAGAGAAACGACUCCACAGAGGUCUGAUAAACAGAAUUAUAAAGAGAUGAACCAGCACCCCAAGGCUAAAACGAGCCACCUUCGACAGUCUCGGCGAGAAUAGUUCGCUCCCCGCAAGCAUAUAUCGAAGGGGGUUUCCUGCUCAAUGGAUUUAGGAAUCUGCUGCUGGCGUUUUAAGAUCGAAGUCUUCGGAGCGGCAGCAGCAGUUCUCGAACAGAGGAGAGAAAGGCUGUUGCUGAAGCUCUUGCUGUCGACGAAGGAAGUCAACGGCGGCGGCGCUCAUUCAACGGGCAGCAGCAGAAUUUUGGGGAUAGAAGGGCGGCAUCGAGCGGCGAUUGAACCAUGAUGAUUUUCUGAGUAGCCACGGCGAGUCGUAAAGCCGGAUUCGACGGCAUGGCGGCAUGAAAACUCCAGCACCAACAGUGAACCAAGGCGUCUGCGCGGCGGUUAGCCAAGGCAGUAGCAGCGGUGAUUUUAUUUUUGAGUGGGAGAAUUGCAUCUACGAGGGUGACGGGAACGGAGGAGGCGGCCCUCCGGCGGCUGUUUCCACCGGGGAAGAAGGUCGGCGGCUGUCCCUGUGUGAACCGAGAGAGAGCGAGAGCGGAUUUCUUUUUAGAGAGAGAGACGGGCAGAUUUGUUGGAGAAGAAGGGGUGUGCGAUUUUGUGAAAGGGGGCAGUAGCAGUCUCCGGCUUCUUAUUAGCUGGCGUAGCAGCAGUCGGAACCGGCUUGGGGAACAGAGGGAACGGAGUUGAGAGGUGAUCCGCCGGACUUGUGGAGAAGAUGGCGGAAACCAAGUGAAGAGAAGAGAGAGAUGGAGGCUGAUGGGCCUUUAUUUAGUUAAUAGCGAUGAGAGUUUGGCGAUGACAAUCUUGGGGGGUCAUGUUCAAGACUGGCGUAGUCUCAUUAACCAACUUCAUGGAAGAUUUU